UAGUUUAGGAGAAAAAGUCGCCACUGCAAUAUGACUCUAACGAGUUGACGCAGUGGGGUGGUGGCGGGUCGACUUAUGUCUGCGGCUCAUUAAAUCAGUUACGGUUCCUCGGAUAUUCUUUUUUACAUGGAUAACUGUGGUAAUUCUAGAGCUAAUACAUGAACAAGUGUUCCAACCUCAGCUUGCUGACGGAAGGAUCGCAUUUAUUAGUACAAGACCAAUGAUUCUUAUUCACCUAGAACCCUGUUCAGUGAUUUCGGUCGCUGUCUAAGGACUAGCAGUGGGGAUCUUAGCAACUUCGGUUGCAUUUCUUGUGAUGACUCUGAAUAACUGAGCAAAUCGUAUGGCCUCUGAGCCGACGAUGUAUCCCUCAAGCAACUGCCUUAUCAACUGUCGAUGGUAGGUUAUGCGCCUACCAUGGUUGUAACGGGUAACGGGGAAUUAGGGUUCGAUUCCGGAGAGGGAGCCUGAGAAACGGCUACCACAUCUAAGGAAGGCAGCAGGCGCGCAAAUUACACAAUCCCAGUACGGGGAUGUAGUGACGAAAAAUAACAAUACGGGACUCUAUUGAGGCCCCGUAAUUGGAAUGAGUACAAUUUAAAUCCUUUAACGAGGAUCUAUUGGAGGGCAAGUCUGGUGCCAGCAGCCGCGGUAAUUCCAGCUCCAAUAGCGUAUAUUA
rnacentral:rRNA from 1 species